CUAGGGAUGUGACCAGCCCCCUUUCUCCUUCCCCUCGAUCCCCACGAGCUGCUGUGCCCCUCCCUCUCCCUUCCGUGCGUGCGCUCGGCCAAGGACACCGUCGUCGCCCUCGGUUGCUCCUCCAUGACCUCGCCUCUUUCUCCUCCUCGCCUACCCAUCGUCCGCGCGCAGGUUGCCGCCGUCGGAGAAUAGGACAGUGUCGGGUUACUUCCUCCUUUCCUCCCGCCGGAUCUAAAGUGUGCGGUUGUGGAGGAGAGCCUCUCCUGUAGGAGAGGUAAGAUGGGAGAGAGGGGGAGAAGGAAGGAGAGGAGGGAGGCCCAGCGGUGAACGAGAGAGGGUCAUCGGCUGGCGCCUGCCAGGUCAGGUGUGACCUGGUGGUUGGUGGCAGCUCGAUCCUGGGUCCUUUUUCUUCCACCUCCCCACUGCCUAACACCGAGCACCGGUCAGGGAGCAUGGGAUCGACAACGACGGCCGGAACCCAAGAGGGAGGAUGAGGGGAUUGAAGAGGGUGUUCUUGUGUUCAUCGCCUGAACAAGGAAGAGGACGACGACGCGGGGUGGAACAUGUCAUCCCUCUGGUUAUGGCCUUCCUUUCUGCUGCUGGGUGAGCUUCUUCUCCCUUCCCGUCAAUGAGAGGUAGUUACAGUAGUUGAUAUGUCGCCUUGCUCCGAGGCUGAGAUGAGGGUUUUCACUGAUUGUGGUGGCCUGAGGCGGAGAUCGACAGCCAGAUGCUUGUGGCUGCCAUACAAAACAUGCUCUCUUGCUGACCUCGAGGUCCAGCCGCAAUGGACCAUCUCCAAGUGUGGAUCAUUGGAGCUAUCAUGAAGAUAUAAGCAAGCUGCUGGUUUCAGCAACUUGGCAUUUUUGUACUGAUUAGUGAACUAGCAAGGUAUAAUGGUAAUUCUUCUACAUCCAGAUGAAUGGGAUGGAUAGUAGUUCUGCUAUGCAUAAUGGUAUAGAAGAAGGACCUUUGCUUAAUGGUUGAUUUUCUUCUGCUCAUGGCAGCUUGCUCGAGGAAAACUUGCAAGCCCGAUGUGCACUGAUGGCGCUGCCAGCAACAUCAAGGAUGGAAUCAGCAAGACACUCUUUUAGGUCAGAGAAAUUGGCGGUCCAAUGAUUAAGCCUGAAUCUUCAUGGCUUCUACAGCCACCAACAUGGUGUAGCUCAGCCAGACCACAACUAUCGAUAGGUGACCAUCUUCAUUGAGACUUAGAUAUCAUGAGGGUGAUGAUGGAGGAUAGCAAUGUCUCCAUCAGCUGCUACCAUAGAAGGUGGAGACAAGUGGCGAGUGACAGUAUUGCAGGCUUGCAGCUAUCAAUGAAGAUCGUGGUUGUUUGCCCCCCCUACAAAGAUUAAGGUCCCUUGGAGGCUACAAAUGAUAGGGCCUUCAUCACUCAUGCUGAUGUUCGAGAAGAAUCUGGGCCUGACACGGCAGCUGAACAUGUGCUAGGUUUGCUUACCUGCCUUUGAACUCUCUGAAUGUCAAAAGCACUAAAGUGGGUACUUCCUAAUGGAAAUAUUCUCUUCUUUGCUGGUGAGGGUAGGUUCUAUCUCAUCAGUUCUUGCUUCUUGAUGUUUCAUUGUAUUCAGUUAUGAUAUAUUUUUCAACUAUACAAGCACUUGGGGAAGUCAGGAAAACUGAACCAAAGACGAACACUUUUACUGGCGAUGUUCGGGCUUUUUUUAACUGAGAUGUGAAAGAUGCAUCUUAUCCCCUAAGAAAUAUUGCCUUUUAUUUCUUGAUUUUUCCCUGACCUGCUAAUUUAGAGCUAGAUAUUCAUGAUUCAUCAUACACAUUACAAUAAAUUAUCCAUUGGAAUCUUUUGUCCAUAGAGGUGAUUUUGUUUGGACCAUUUGUCUAGGUAGUGACAUUUUGAUCGAUAAGGCACAAGUUUAUUUUCUUUUUCACUCAUGGCUACACUAAACUAAGCAUCACCGUCAAUGAAAAGAAGGCAUACAAAUCAUGAAGUUUUUGCCUUGGUUUUGUGCCUCAUUUAGUUGUCACUUAUUUAUUUCAAGGAAGUUAUUCAAUUCCCAUCGAGCUUUCCUGAUGCUUUCCAUUUGUAAAAGAGAAAUUUAAUAUGCAAUAUUUUUAAUAUUCGAGGAGGCCGCAGGAGAAGAAAAGGGGCUGUCAGGUCAGACUUUGGUGCAUCUCUGACCAAAGAUGGCUGGAUCCAUCCGACGCUCUUCCAAAUAGAGUGCAGAUAUGCUGACAGGCGUUAAGACUUGGUGGAGCCAGGCCAUGAAGCACUAUUAGCAUUCAACACUUGGCCCUGAUGAGCAUGACAGCCUAUGCUACCGCCUGAACAUCUUCUAUUCUUCUUUUGGCCCAAAACGAGACCAGUAGGGGCACCUUGAGCGAGUACUCAAGGCAUGCAGUCAAGUCAUGAUGUUGGUUCCCUUUCGCUAGAUCUUACAUAUUUAAUUAUGUGAUUUUGGAAGCCAAAACUGAUUAAGAUCUUCUGUUCUUACUUGCAGAUGUUAUGUUAUUCAGAGUACUUCAGUUUCCAGUCUCUAUAUAUUAAUCAAAUUAUGGGUUAUUUUGAACCUUAUAGGCUUUUAUUAUAUGUUUAGUUAUGCUUCCAUGGGUUUUGGAUAUGUAUUAACAAAAGAACCAUACUACUAUUUUGUCUAUACUUGAAUCGAAGGACGUAUAGUUAAUUUGCUCUUACGAAAGGACUGAGUAGACAGCUAGCCAAAUGACAGGACAAUCAUGACAAGCAAAGCAACACAUAAAUAGUAAUCCCUGGGAGUACUUUGGAUUUUAAGUGCGAAUCAUAGUUAUUUUCUUCUUAACUUUGGUAUGACAAGCAGUUCAAGUGAUAUUCCUAAUUGUUGCUGCUGACACUGAAAAACUACUCCUGAAGCACUAGAAGUGCCCUCUCUAUGGUUAAUCACUCACUGGAUCCAUAUGGGCAACCUUCCGCUUCAAAAUUAAAAGAGCACAGUUUUUGCCUGCUAUCAUUGCUUACGAAGAGUAAUCUACCAUGUCCCUAAUAUAUAUACGUAAUUGUUGCACCAUCACAAGAUUUCCAUGAUAUGCAUGGGUAUAACUUUCUUUACUGAGGAAAGGCAGGCUGUCAUUUCUAAAGGUUGAGAUUUUCUGUUUUAAGGAAUGUCAACUAUCUAUUCCUUAUCUGGCAUGUGUAUUUGCUUUGUCCUCUACUUCUGAUAAGGCAAGACAGAUCAAACCAACAUAGUAAUCCUCUAAUCCUUGAUUAUAUUAUGAAAAAACACUGGUUUUUCGUGUCAGGAUAGUACUAUGUCAAACUGAUGCUUUGUAUUGCAUGUUCCGGUGUAUACCCUGACAAUAUUGGAUCCGGCUUGCCAGCUCCCUCUUCAUGCUCUCAUCCGUGCUCCCACUUCAUCCUACGGCUGUCCUUUUUCCUUUUUCCUUUCU